rnacentral:rRNA from 1 species
ANCNCCUAAACNUNUCGNUCCGUGCGUCUCNGAAACANAAAUCAGCGUUGCNCAUNNGCUGACNACCCUGGCNCACGGNAUNAGUAAUGCCGUGGAGAAUAUAGCCUUAGGUGUGGGGGAUAACUAUUGGAAACGAUAGCUAAUACCGCAUAAUGUCUUCGGACCAAAGAGGGGGAUCUUCGGACCUCUCGCGCUAAGAUUAGCCCAGGUGAGAUUAGCUUGUUGGUGAGGUAAGAGCUCACCAAGGCGACGAUCUCUAGCUGGUCUGAGAGGAUGAUCAGCCGCACUGGAACUGAGACACGGUCCAGACUCCUACGGGAGGCAGCAGUGGGGAAUAUUGCACAAUGGGCGAAAGCCUGAUGCANCCAUGCCGCGUGUAUGAAGAAGGCCUUCGGGUUGUAAAGUACUUUCAGUCGUGAGGAAGGGUGUGUAGUUAAUAGCUGCACAUCUUGACGUUAGCGACAGAAGAAGCACCGGCUAACUCCGUGCCAGCAGCCGCGGUUCUACGGAGGGUGCGAGCGUUAAUCGGAAUUACUGGGCGUAAAGCGCAUGCAGGUGGUUCAUUAAGUCAGAUGUGAAAGCCGGGGCUC